rnacentral:tRNA from 1 species
CGGGGUGUAGCGCAGUUGGUAGCGCGCCUGCUUUGGGAGCAGGAUGUCAGGAGUUCGAGUCCCCUCACCCCGA